UACGAAGGGUGCAAGCGUUAAUCGGAAUUACUGGGCGUAAAGCGCGCGUAGGUGGUUCAGCAAGUUGAAGGUGAAAUCCCCGGGCUCAACCUGGGAACUGCCUCCAAAACUACUGAGCUAGAGUACGGUAGAGGGUAGUGGAAUUUCCUGUGUAGCGGUGAAAUGCGUAGAUAUAGGAGGGAACACCAGUGGCGAAGGCGACUACCUGGACUGAUACUGACACUGAGGUGCGAAAGCGUGGGGAGCAAACAGG
rnacentral:rRNA from 1 species